rnacentral:rRNA from 1 species
CCCUUAGAUGUUCUAGGCUGCACGCGCGCUACACUGAUGCAUCCAACAAGUUUUUUCCUUGUUCGAGAGGACUAGGUAAUCUUAUGAGAAUGCAUCGUGAUGGGGAUAGAUUAUUGCAAUUAUUAAUCUUCAACGAGGAAUUCCUAGUAAGCGCGAGUCAUCAGCUCGUGCUGAUUACGUCCCUGCCCUUUGUACACACCGCCCGUCGCUGCAACUGAUUGGGUGACCUGGUGAACAUCUUGGACCGGCCCACUCAAUUUCGAGAGGACUGGAAAAGGCCGUAAAUCAGGUACAUCUAGAAAUUGCAAAAGUCGUAACA